rnacentral:rRNA from 1 species
GUGCCUAACACAUGCAAGUCGAACGAGAAAGCGGGGGCAACUCCGUGAGUAAAGUGGCGACCGGGUGAGUAACACGUAGCUAACCUACCCUCGAGUGGGGGAUAACCUGGGGAAACCUGGGCUAAUACCGCAUAACAUCCUGACGGCGAAAGUCGCUAGGAGCAAAGGCCCGCAAGGGUCGCUGGAGGAGGGGGCUGCGGCCGAUUAGCUAGUUGGUGAGGUAACGGCCCACCAAGGCGAUGAUCGGUAGCCGGCCUGAGAGGGCGCACGGCCACACUGGCACUGAAACACGGGCCAG